rfam:Azotobacter vinelandii DJ, complete genome.
CUGCCGGGCCUUGCCUUGACUGGGUUUCGGAGUCUCUUUAGACUUACGGACCCUAAAUUUGGCAGGGCGGACCGCUCUGCCAUUUUGUUUAUGUCGAAAGACAACAGUGGAGCUAGUAGA